rnacentral:rRNA from 1 species
UGCUUGCACCUUUCAAGUGAGUGGCGAACGGGUGAGUAACACGUGGAUAACCUACCUCAAGGUUGGGGAUAACAUUUGGAAACAGAUGCUAAUACCGAAUAAAACUUAGUAUCGCAUGAUACCAGGUUAAAAGGCGCUACGGCGUCACCUAGAGAUGGAUCCGCGGUGCAUUAGUUAGUUGGUGGGGUAAAGGCUUACCAAGACAAUGAUGCAUAGCCGAGUUGAGAGACUGAUCGGCCACAUUGGGACUGAGACACGGCCCAAACUCCUACGGGAGGCUGCAGUAGGGAAUCUUCCACAAUGGGCGAAAGCCUGAUGGAGCAACGCCGCGUGUGUGAUGAAGGCUUUCGGGUCGUAAAGCACUGUUGUAUGGGAAGAACAGCUAGAGUAGGGAAUGACUUUAGUUUGACGGUACCAUACCAGAAAGGGACGGCUAAAUACGUGCCAGCAGCCGCGGUAAUACGUAUGUCCCGAGCGUUAUCCGGAUUUAUUGGGCGUAAAGCGAGCGCAGACGGUUAAUUAAGUCUGAUGUGAAAGCCCGGAGCUAACUCCGGAAAGGCAU